rnacentral:rRNA from 1 species
CACGUAGGGUGCGAGCGUUGUCCGGAAUUAUUGGGCGUAAAGGGCGCGUAGGCGGCCUGUUAAGUCGAACGUGAAAUCCCCGGGCUCAACCCGGGAACUGCGUCCGAUACUGGUAGGCUUGAAUUCGGGAGAGGGAUGUGGAAUUCCAGGUGUAGCGGUGAAAUGCGUAGAUAUCUGGAGGAACACCGGUGGCGAAGGCGGGUCUCUGGGCCGAUACUGACGCUGAGGAGCGAAAGCGUGGGGAGCGAACAGG